UCUCCUCACACGCAUAAUCCAAGGCCAUUUUCUCUCCUAAAACCUAUUUCCUUCCUAUCUCCUUUCUCUUUCCUCAUUUCGCCGUUGUAACUCAUCUUUUUUCUAUCUCCUUUCGCUCUCCUCAAUUCCCCGCACUUUCCAUCUCUCCUUUCUAUUUCCUUUCUCUCUUAAUUUCACCGCACCUUUCAUCUAAAAAUGGCGAUUUCGUCGCACCUCUUAUCUAACUCACCGCAUCUCCAACUACUCUGAAGAAGAUAUGAGAAAAAAAAUGGCGAAAACACUCACCUAAUUGAGUCUCCAGCAAUUCAUUUAUCUCUCUCCUACCACUCGGUUUUGAGAUCUGUUCAACAUCUUCACAGGUGAACUCCUCAUCUCUUCGUUUUAAUUUCUCUAUGGUGUUGUAAUUCCAGUAUUUUUUGUUAUAGAUGCAGCCUGAUUUGGGCUUGGUUUAGCAUUUUAGGGUUUUAUCGUUUGAUGUUUUUGGGUUUUUAAUCGGAAUUUACUUCAUGAAAAAUAUUUAUUUGUGGAAUAGAAAUAGAUAGGUUAUUUAGGGAUUAAUAGGAUCAAUUGUUGCUUUACUUAUUUUUGUUGGGGUUCGUUUGCUUAAUUGUUGCUUGAAUAAUUGUUUUGUACCUUGGUUUGCAUGUUGUGUGCGUCGAUGGGUUGGAGAGGAAGGUGCAUAGGUGCUGAGCGAGGCGUUGCCGAGGUGCUGGCCAGGCAUGUGAAAUCACUCUGAAUUUGUUUAGUUUUUUAAGAUUUCCUCUUUUAUUCUUCUGCAUGUUUUUACUCCGUAUAUUUUUAAUAUUUAAGUUCACUCUUAAUUGAUACGGAGUAGAUUCCUUCUAUAUGUUUUACUUAUCCUUUAAAUUAGGUUUUUUGUAGAAAAUCUUUUUUUUUUUGGAUUAACUUUGAUCAUGAUUUCUUUUAGUAACUACAGAUGCAUACUUCGUAGUUAAUAAGGUUCCUAAUUCAACUCCAUGUGUGAGCUGAAUCAAAAUCCCCCUAUGAGAUGUUGUUGUUGUUGUGGUUGUUGAAGGAGGAUGUAGUCUAAUGCAUACUUUGUACUCCCUCCGUCCCGGAAUACUUGACCUGUUUUCCUUAUCGGGUUGUCCCUUAAUACUUGACUUGUUUCUAAAAAUGGAAAUAUUCUAACAAUAUUAUAUUAUUUCUCACUCCACCCCUAUUAACCCACCUAACCCCUACUCCAUACAAAAAAUAAUUAAAAAUUCAACCCCUACUCUCCCCCAACCCCACCUCUUAACCCACCUCCCACUAACUACAUUAAAAUAAUACCCCACUAUCAACUACUACCUAUUAAAUUAAAUAAGUCAAUUCAAGUCCCUUAAACUCUGUGUCGGUCAAACUGGGUCGAGUAUUCCGGGACGGAGGGAGGGAGUAGUUAAUAAAGUGUCUAAUUCAACUGCAUGUGUGAGGAUUCAACUGCAUGUAAUUACUAAUGCAUACUUCGCAGUUAAUAAAGUGUUUAAUUCAACUACAUAUUUCUUUAUUUUGGAUCAACUUUGAUCUUGAUUUUUGUUUUACUUAUUGUCUUUGUUUGUUUGAAUUUAGUUUACCUUUAUUUUAAUUUGGUGACGUUAAGCAUGAUGGGUCAUUUUAGAGAUUAGCUUUAAUUUUUUUAAGAUUAGCUUACCCCUGCAUUUGUAGAGAGGUUGUUUUCAAUUGAUUUGUUUCCUUUGACUCUAAUUAGCGCCAGAUAAUUCCUUUUUCAUUUUUUGAUAGCUCGCAACUCCGAGUCAAUGGAUUCUGUAAUGCUGAAUCAGUUUUUAAAAUGAUAUUUCCUUAUUUAAUUAAUUUUUAGUUUUUUAAAUGAAUAACUAUUCAGCUUUUUAAAUCAAUAACUAAUUGUUUUCAAUUGAUUUUUUUAAUGAGCAUAGCCUUAUUAGCCUGUUUGUGUGUGUCUUGUCUUACUGUAUGUGUUAUUUAUUUAUUUAUUUUACUGAAACUAUAUCUUUUUUUAGAUGAGUUCCAUAAAGCUAGUGCCUAGAUAAAAUGCAGACCAUUCAUGGUGUGACGGGUUCUGAAGUUAUUUCCACGUAAGCUGAUAUAAUUUGGUUGUGUGCACGGUUACAUAGUUGGAUUCGUGCGAAAAGUUUACUUACGUGUAUGGGAGCGACUUCAAGAAGAAAGAACUGUGAUGUGGUUCUUCUGAGAACGGCUUUCUUCUGCUUUCUUCAGUACGGUAUAGUAGAUUUGCAGUACGGGAGAAGUUUUAUUUUUUUACCUGAUUUCUGGAGAAUUUUUUCUUCUUUUGGUUUCUGUAGAUUUUUUUUACUGUUUUUGAUUUAGUAUGUCAAUUACAAUAAGUUGUAACAUUAUUCGUUUCUUGAUUUAUAAUAAUUUUCGUUUCAUUUGGCAA